CAGGGAGACAACAAAAUGUUUAAUAUUAUUAUUUUGUCACCUUAGGUCGAUCGGUAUCUCACGUUCUUAAUUUGUUAAGAAUUUCAUUUCCUAAGUUUUUCUAGGUCACACCCAUUAUUUUUCCUGGGCCAUUAGCUCAGGUGGUUAGAGCGCACCCCUGAUAAGGGUGAGGUCCCUGGUUCAAGUCCAGGAUGGCCCAUAUCUCUAUGUUGGGGGUAUAGCUCAGUUGGUAGAGCGCCUGCUUUGCAAGCAGGAUGUCAGCGGUUCGAGUCCGCUUACCUCCACUGAUUACCACCUCUUCCAUAACUGGUAGAAAGGAAAUGUUUUGAGUUGUGAACAUUAUUCUGAACGAAUCUAGCUUCCUAAUGAAAUCAUUAAGAUGCUGGACUCAUUGAAUUAAUUUCAUUGUUUUCAGAGAACCUUGACAACUGCAUAGAUUUUUUUAAAGACAAUAAGCAUCUUUAAUGAUGCGGAUUUAUUAUUUGUGCGAAUGCAUUAAUAACAAUUCUAUUAAGCUGAUGCUUCAAUUUUUGAAGUUAUU
rnacentral:tRNA from 1 species